UACAGAGGGUGCGAGCGUUAAUCGGAAUUACUGGGCGUAAAGCGCGCGUAGGCGGGCUGGUAAGUCAGAGGUGAAAUCCCGGGGCUUAACCUCGGAAUUGCCUUUGAAACUGCCAGUCUGGAGUCCUGGAGAGGGUGGUGGAAUUCCUAGUGUAGAGGUGAAAUUCGUAGAUAUUAGGAGGAACACCGGUGGCGAAGGCGACCACCUGGACAGGUACUGACGCUGAGGCGCGAAAGCGUGGGGAGCAAACAGG
rnacentral:rRNA from 1 species